AUCUUCCUUUUUCACUUUGAUAUCAUUGGGGAAACUCUCAGUCUUUUGAACGAAGGGAAAAGAAGUUGCUCUGGGUCCAUUGUGGUGAUGCAUGUAACGCUCUGGCACCCAGAUUGGCUGUGCUGCUCCUUCUGGAAAGAUACAAAACACAGCCUCUUCCCCACAUCAUUACUGAAUCUGGUAAAACCCUUGUCUGGAGGCCCAAUGCCUUUCGGCUGCUGUACAACCCUCUGCAUUGCAAUU